rnacentral:rRNA from 2 species
CGAGCGGACUUUAAAAGCUUGCUUUUAAAGUUAGCGGCGGACGGGUGAGUAACACGUGGGCAACCUGCCUGUAAGACUGGGAUAACUUCGGGAAACCGGAGCUAAUACCGGAUAAUCCUUUUCCUCUCAUGAGGAAAAGCUGAAAGACGGCAUCUCGCUGUCACUUACAGAUGGGCCCGCGGCGCAUUAGCUAGUUGGUGAGGUAACGGCUCACCAAGGCAACGAUGCGUAGCCGACCUGAGAGGGUGAUCGGCCACACUGGGACUGAGACACGGCCCAAACUCCUACGGGAGGCAGCAGUAGGGAAUCUUCCGCAAUGGACGAAAGUCUGACGGAGCAACGCCGCGUGAGUGAUGAAGGUUUUCGGAUCGUAAAGCUCUGUUGUUAGGGAAGAACAAGUACAAGAGUAACUGCUUGUACCUUGACGGUACCUAACCAGAAAGCCACGGCUAACUACGUGCCAGCAGCCGCGGUAAUACGUAGGUGGCAAGCGUUGUCCGGAAUUAUUGGGCGUAAAGCGCGCGCAGGCGGUCCUUUAAGUCUGAUGUGAAAGCCCACGGCUCAACCGUGGAGGGUCAUGGGAAACUGGGGGACUUGAGUGCAGAAGAGAAGAGUGGAAUUCCACGUGUAGCGGUGAAAUGCGUAGAGAUGUGGAGGAACACCAGUGGCGAAGGCGACUCUUUGGUCUGUAACUGACGCUGAGGCGCGAAAGCGUGGGGA